CAAAACUCAUCUGUGUGUGUUUCUCUCAGCUCCUGUGUCCUCUGUCCUGCUGGUCUCUGAGUGUCUGUCCCAGGGAGAGAUGAGGGUGUCCUGCUCCUCUGAGGGAGGGGACAGUCCUCAGUACAGCUGGACUCUGGAUGGACGCACACUGACAGAUGCUGAGCUCCUUUCUGGAAAUAAUAAGAGCUACAAUAUUAUUCUGAAACAGCACGUCUCAGGACAUCUGGUCUGCUCAGUGAGAAAUCAUGUCAAUAGUGUCUCCAAAGAACAAAGGAUAUGUACUUGUGGAUUCAUUUUCAUUAACUGCACUUUAUCUGAUGGGACACACAUAACAAAGUGGGUGCUUGCAACCAAAAAUACCCUGUGUAUUAAACCAACAAUGGGCCCUAUAACAGUCUCUGACACUGCUCUAGAUAACUCCUUACUUUUAUGUGGUUUGAGAGCAAUCUUGGGAAUUCUCUUAUUAAUUGGGAUUUUCAUCUACUUUGCUUGGAAGAAAAAGAAAACUGAAAAAGCUGCUGUCCCACAAACAAUGGACUAUCCAGACAACUCUGUUCUGAUGGUUGAAAUGACAACUUCUACUUCUUGCAACGCGUAGUGUCAACUUUCAUCUGCCCGACAUUUCACAUCUCUGUGAGUGUGAAAAUAGCACUUAGAUGACACGUAUCUCUUGUUUUUAUUCACUAAUCAUGUUUUACAUUUACACAUCUUACACUGAAUUACCACGAGAAGGUCUGAAUAUCUUCUGUAUUUGUAUUCUGUGGAAACUAAUAUAACAAAUGUUGUAAUUGUAAGUAGAGUAGUCUUUUAAUUUGACACAUUUUUUGUCAAGCUUAUGGUGGCCUAAAAUCAAAUUUUUUACAUAACUGCAAAUAGAAAUAAUCAACCCACCAGAAACUACUGUUUGUACUAAACUGAAUUUGAGCACUCUCAAACUAUUUGCAAGUGGUUGAAAUUAACAGCACUGAUUCAUACAGUGUACUUUUCUUUUGUUAUUGCUACACCGUAACAAUAUAUUUGUAGGACAUGUUAAUAUUUAUAGUGUGUAUUAGAUGAUUUACAGACAUAGUCACACAACUCAAUAACAGUUGUGACUAAAAGACGAUUGAAUAAUGUAGUCAAUCAUAACUGAAUAAUGUAAAAGGUACCAUGGUCACCAGGUUUUUAAGUUCUCUUUAGCUUUGCACUUUUGAAAAUCUUUGUUACAUUAUUCUGCAUUGGUUUCAUUUCUAUGUUGUGAGGGGUUUACCUAAGGUUUUUCUUAGUGUUUUGUGAUCUUGUUUCAUCAGUUCUUUUGGUAGCAUUUCAGUCUGAUUUAUGUAUUGCUGUGUUUUCCUGCUUCCCUUGUGUAUCUGCUGGUUCUGACUUUUCUGUAUUUGUUUACCUUUCUGUCUUUGUGUCAAGCUCAUAUGUCGUAGUCUAGGUAUCAGUGUUAGUCAUUUCCUGUUUUAAUUUGAUAGUCUGCCGUCCCUUGUGCUUUGUGUUCUGUUUUGUUUCUCUUAUUUCAUUAGCCUGGGAUAAGUGUCAGCUGUACUCCCACCUCUUGCCUGUUCCCUCAUCGUCCUGUAUGUUCAUAUAUGGCCUGAGUCUCAUUUUGUUUUUUGUUCUGUUCUUCCUCUAGACGGUGUGCCUCUUGCUGUGUGUUCUGCGGUCCAUGUGUCCUACCAUGUAAACCUAGUUCAUUAGUUCCUGUUUCCACCUUGAUUGAAUUAUUUUGUAUUCUGUAUUUUAGUUUUUGUUCGUUUAGCAAUAAAGCUGUUUUGAGUUUAA